UCCGUAGGUGGGUAAUUAAGUCAGAGGUGAAAUCCCACAGCUUAACUGUGGAACUGCCUUAGAUACUGGUUAUCUUGAGUUUUAGUGAAGUAGAUAGAAUGUGUAGUGUAGCGGUGAAAUGCAUAGAUAUUACACAGAAUACCGAUUGCGAAGGCAGUCUACUAACUAACAACUGACGCUAAUGGACGAAAGCGUGGGGAGCGAACAGGAUUAGAUACCCUGGUAGUCC
rnacentral:rRNA from 1 species